UGGCUCGCCCUGCUUCGGCUCGCGCACGGUGUGCGCACCCACUGACCUGCGCCCACUGUCUGGCACUCCCUAGUGAGAUGAACCUGGUACCUCAGAUGGAAAUGCAGAAAUCACCGUCUUCUGCGUCACUCACGUUGGGAGCUGUAGACCGGAGCUGUUCUUAUUCGGCCAUCUUGGCUCCUCCCCCUAGGUGAAUCCUGGAAGAUAAUAGUGAACUACCUAAAACUUCACCAAUUAGUGGCCCCCACUGCAGCAGCAAUAUCAGAUGUGAUGUCUUUGUUAAAGCAGAUAAACAUAGCCUCAGGUACAAGGAAUGUGGUCAUUGAUAUGGUGUUCAUCUAGCAAACAUUCUACGAUAAACUUUCUGCAUACUCUUCUUCAUAUCAGAGUGCUCCUUCCUGAGGAUCCCAAUUAGUGAAUGUGAUACUGUGAUAUAACAAAUAUAUAUUUGGUCUUCAUCUGUUGCUUCUGACACAGAGCUCCUAAAACCCUUGGGAUUUUCUGAGUUAUAGGGGUGUCUUUUUUGUUAUUCCUAAUAAGUCCCUUUGAUCAUACCUCAGUUUAUGCUAAUUUGGUGACUUAGAGUGAGCCCACUAGAUAGCCUCAGUAUGGGCUAUAGCCCAAAUAAUUAAGAAAUAGCCCAAGUAAUUCAAGGGUUGAAACUUCAAGUCCCACCCACUGACUUUCUGGAAGAGGAGAAUAGGGGAGGCUCAAUAUUGAACUCUAUAAAAACUGUCGAACAAGGAGAUUUGAUAAGCUUCCAGGUUGGUGAACACAUCAAGGUUCUGGGAGGGUGGUACUCCUGGAACAGGCAUGGAAGCUUCACAUCUCCUCCCCAUACAUUGCCCUAUGCACCUCUUUCAUCUGGUUGUUCCUUAGUCUUAUCCUUUAUAACAGUAAAGUAUUUCCUUGAGUUCCGUGAGCCAUUCUAGCAAAAUAUUAACCUGAGAGGGGAGUCAUAAGAAUCCCUAAUUUAUAGCCAGUUGGUUGGAAGUACAGGUGACCCAGGGCUUGUGACUGGCAUCUGAAGUUGGGGCAGUCUUGUGGGACUGAACCCUUAAAUUUGUGAAUCUGACACUAACUCAGGUAGUUAUUUUUAGAAUUGAAUUAAGUUUUUGAACACCGAGCUGGUGUCAGAUAAUUGGUUGGUGUGGGAGAAACCUCCCUGUCAUGUUUUGUGUUAGAAGUAUUGAGAAAAAAAAAAAAACUCUUUUAUUUGAGGAAUGCCAGUCUCCUCUAAAUUAUCAGGCCCAGAGAGGCAAUGGAAUGAAACAGAGGUCAUGUCCCAUUAUCCCCUUUAGACUAAGUAAUCUGCUCUUGAAACUACUUGUUAAAAUCACAAGUAGCUAUAAAUUAAUCUAUCAAUGCUAGACACCAUAAUUUAUACAACAUAUAGCCAGUAUCACUAAUCAAUGUUAUUUCUGUAAACCAAUGAGAAUUCCUGACAAAAAACUUUGUAUAAGCCAACUCUUUGUCCCUGAUUUUUGCUUUUAAAAACCUGCUUGUAACAAAGGCCAAAUGGAGUUCAUAUCCAAGAUUACUUGGGUCUGAGUCUUCCAGGCAGCAGUCUCAUUUUGGCUCAAGUAAACUCUUCAAAAUUAUAUUUUGUGCCUCACUUUUUUUCCUUUAAGCCAACAUUCCUGGCACUAUGAGCAGGAUUCAGAGCAAGCCCCGACCUCAACAAUUUGACAGUCCUCUUGGAUUCAGCACCUGUUCAGCUGGAGCCUCUUGUGUUUUUCCAGAUCUAAGAGCAUUGUCACGUGUAUAUGAGUCCUGAAUUCGGACCUUCCUACCCUGAGGCUGAGGUCUAGUGUUUGCGUGAGCUGUUUUUCUCAGAUCUCCCUUCCAAGAAUGGGGCUUUCCAUCUCUAUCUAAGGUCAGGAGAUUUGGAUUUCAAGAUAAAAGAGAACUUUUACCUUCUCUGCCUCUGCCUCAUAGCAGAAGGUCUGGGUCACCAGUGCAGUCUAGCACUGGUGGUUGCACUACUUUUGGUCUAAAAUUACAUAGCAUGUUUUAAAAAUUACAGCUCCUUCCUCUUGAUUAUGAUUCAAAUGUGUCUUUUCAGUUAUGACCAAUUUUUGUUAGUUUCAAACCAAAAGGUGCAUGAGAGUGAAUUCUCUCACCCCAAAAUUAAGAGACACUUGCUCCCUCCAACUAAUUAACAAUUUAAUCCAAUUGGCAUCUGGUGGCAAGAGAUUUUUUGAAAGUGACAGAUUGUUCGUCCAUGACAAGUAGUGGUUUUAUAGGGCUUCCCCACAAGAACACCUAUUGCAACUUUCAGCUCAACCAGAAGGUGCACAUAAGGGUUGAUCACCUGGCACCUUGAACACACUGCCACCACAAGGCAAUCAGAUAUUUUGAGACACGUAAGAGAGUGAUCCAAGACUCUUUGAUGACACUUGGAGGAGUGAUGCUCAUGAGCAGCACCCUUUGACCCAAAACACAUUUCUGGCCUUGGUCACUUUUGAAAAGUUCCUAAAUUAUAGGAAAUCAACCUUCAGAAUCUGAGCACUCUUUUACAGGACAGUCUUCUUUAGAAAUACAAGCUGGUUCUGUGUAUAACACUUACGGGGCAUCUUCUUAUAAAUAUCUAAAGAAAAUGAGCCCACAUAAUCCAGGAUGGUCAUAAGCAGCAAUGGCUGAAAUGAGGGUCCUUUGAAGUCCUAAAAUAAUUUAUUUGUGUGCAUAAUUGAAAAAAACUAGUUUUAGAACAUGACAAAUUGAUGGGAGCACCCAUUCAAUGGCACCUAGAAGCUUCUAAAAGAAAUUGUAACAAAAUUGACUGCAUUCAGGAGGUAAACAAAAGGAUAUCUGACACUAUUUCUGAAUUUAAAAAGACUAUGGAGGUCUUCUCCCUUCCAUCUCCAACUCCUCCUCCUCCUAACCCCUCACCUUUAUAUCCUGUCUUAUUCAAACUUCCUGCCCUGACUUAACUCCCCUUCUACCACCAUCACCUGAGGAAACUCUCCUGGUCUCUGGCCCCCUCCCUGGAACUUCUAUUUUUGCAGUCUCUUUCAGGGUAAAACCCAUAGCAAGAGGUGAGCCUAUUAUUAUAUAUGCCCCUUGGACAAAGACUGAACUUAAGAAUACCAUGAAAGACUUCCCAGACCCAUUCCAAGAUCCCAUAGGGUUUGCAAAAGAAUUUGAU
rnacentral:lncRNA from 1 species